GACACCGAACCCCCACCCGUAUAAUGUUUUAAAUUUGCAAUAUUAAAAACUAGCAUGUAAAAUGUUUAUGUGACUAAAAUGCAUGCUGUGAUGGGUUACGCGCUCGUCUUAGUUAUUUAUAGAGUCACCCCAGAACCAGCACAAAGAAGUCUUCCCUUAAAUGUAGCCUAAACCAAUGGUUUCCAACCACAUUCCUAGAGGCCCCCCACCAUGCACAUUUUGCAUGUCUUCUUGUCUAACACACCCAUUUCAGGUCUUUGAGUCACUACCAAUGAGCUGAUUACCUAAAUCUGGUGUGUUUGAUUAAGGAGACAUGCAAAAUGUGCAGUGCUGGGGGGCCUCCAGGAACGUGGUUGGGAACCACAGGCCUAAAGGAUACGAGCGCUGCGGAUACCCGCAAGAUGGAGAUUUGUCUUGAUAGAAAGUAGUGGAGAAUGACAGGAAGCGAAGUGGUGGAGAGAGACAGAGAAAAUGGAGCACGAGGUUUUGAACUCGGAUCACACGAAACAACAAACCCGCAGCGCGCCGGAGCAAUGACCGUGAAGCCAUCGGAUCCGACACCCGGUAUUAUGGCUUAUUUAUAUGGAAAUGAGCAGCGCGAAUAUUUUGUGUUCCACAGAGGAAAACUAUACAGUUUUUGAACGACACAAGGAUGCUCAAAUUGAUCAAAGACUAAAAGAAUAAAAAUCUGUGAGAGGUUAAAAAGUCUAUGCUGGAGAUACAGAGGACACCUCCGUCUUGCUGGUGGACACAGUUGAGGACUCCUCAUCGCCAAGAGGAUUCUUUCCACAGAAAAGAGUGGUCAGCAUGCAGCUCCGGAACUGUAAAAGACAGUGUUUCAUUUAGAACUUUUUGGGGUUUUAUUCAGCUUUUUAUUGAUAGAGACGAUAGAGAGAGGAGAGGGAGUAGAGCAGGAAUGGGAUGUCUGGCAUAGGAGAAGUCAGAUAUAUGAUUAACCUGUUUGUUUAGCAGCACAUAGAUGAUUGGGUUAUAUAAGGCUGAGGUCUUUGAGAAAAAGGCAGGAACAGCCAUGGACUGGGCAGUGAAAGCAGCUCCCUUAUUAAAGAAGAUCCAGGCAGCAACACUGGCAUAAGGGGUCCAAGCCACCAGGAAACCCAAAACCAUCAGGAUGACCAUUUUUGUCACUUCCCUCUCAGCCUUCUGGGUAGAUGCUGAGUCCUGCUGUUGAGCUGCAGCCUAAGAGAGCACAAAACAGCCCAUUUUUAACAUUGUAUUCCAAUAUUUGAGAAAUUACAGGAAUGUUUAACAUGACAUUUCAUACCGCCUUGACGGUGCAAACAAGCCGCCCAUAGGUGAAGAAGAUUACGGUGACCGGAAGUAUAAAAUGGCAGGUGAACAUGUAGAUGACAUAUGAUUCAUUGUUGUAUUCAGGAUUCAGGGUGUAAUAGUCUGGUCCACAUGAACACUGCAUUCCCUCAGGAAUAUAUCUGUUAAAGAAAAGCACCUGAUGUUAGGAAACUUCAGUCAGAGUAAUAUAUGUUGUACCUAGGCAUUUGAAAACAACUACAUUUAAUACAAACUAUGCAGUUAAAAAUUAGCAUUAAAAAAUCAGUGUGACUGUUACACUGGGAAAAGCCUUAUUUACAUUGAAAGUAAGCCAUCCCUGUGUAUCAAUAAACAUGUUGCCUUUUAAAAAA